UACAGAGGGUGCAAGCGUUGUUCGGAAUUACUGGGCGUAAAGGGCGCGUAGGCGGUUUAGCAAGUCAGAUGUGAAAGCCCGGGGCUUAACUCCGGAAUUGCAUUUGAAACUGCUAGGCUAGAGUGCAGUAGAGGAUGGCGGAAUACCUAGUGGAGAGGUGAAAUUCGUAGAUAUUAGGUGGAACACCGGUGGCGAAGGCGGCCAUCUGGGCUGUAACUGACGCUGAGGCGCGAGAGCGUGGGGAGCAAACAGG
rnacentral:rRNA from 1 species